UGAAAUAGAGGUUCCUGCAAAGUAC
rnacentral:piRNA from 1 species